CAGAAUUGCCAGUUCUUCCUGUAGGACCUUUAUUCCAGGUAAAUCCUGGUGGUAAUUCAUCUGCUGAAGCUUCUCUGAUCAGACAAGCCUGAUCAGAAUUGCCAGUUCUUACUGUCGGACCAUUAUUCCAGGUAAAGCCUGGUGGUAAUUCAUCCGCUGAAGCUUCUCUGCUCAGAGAAGCCUGAUCAGAAUUGUUAGUUCCUACUCUUGGACCUUUAUUCCAGGUAAAGCCUGGUGGUAAGUCAUCUGCUGAAGCUUCUCUGGCCAGAGAAGCCUGGUUGGAAUUGCCAGUUCUUAAUGUCGGAUCUUUAUUCCAGGUAAAGCCUGGUGGUAAUUCAUCCGCUGAAGUUUCUCCGCUCAGAUCUUUGUUCUGGAUAAGUAUUUCCUUUCCCCAGCCUGGUGGUAAUUCAUCCGCUGAAGCAUCUUUGCUCAGAGAAGCCUGAUCACACUGAAGCUUCUCUGGUCGGAGAAGCCUGAUCGGAAUUGCCAGUUCCUAAUGUCGGACCUUUAUUCCAGGUAAAGCCUGGUGGUAAUUCAUCCGCUGAAGCUUCUCCGCUCAGAUCUUUGUUCUGGAUAAGUAUUUCCUUUCCCCAGCCUGGUGGUAAUUCAUCCGCUGGAGCUUCUUUGCUCAGAGAAGCCUGAACAGAAUAGCCAGUUCCUACAAUAGGAUCUUUGUUCGGGGCAAGUAUUUCCUUUUCCCAGGCUGGUCGUAAUUCCUCCGCUGAAGCUUCUCUGCUCAGAGAAGCCUGAUCAGAAUUGCCAGUUCCUGCAGUAGAAUCUUUGUUCGGGGAAAGUAUUCCGUUGUCCCAGCCUGGUGGUAAUUGAUCUGCUGAAGCUUCUCUGCUCAAAGCCUGCUCAGAAUUGCCUGUUCCUACUGUAGGAUCUUUGGUCGGG
rnacentral:lncRNA from 1 species